ACUGAACGCUGGCGGCAGGCCUAACACCUGCAAGUCGAACGAGUGGCGGACGGGUGAGUAAUGACUGGGAAACUGCCUGAUGGAGGGGGAUAACUACUGGAAACGGUAGCUAAUACCGCAUACCCUCGGAUGUGCCCAGAUGGGAUUAGCUAGUAGGUGGGGUAAAGGCUCACCUAGGCGACGAUCCCUAGCUGGUCUGUGAGGAUGACCAGCCACAGUGGAACAGAGGCACGGUCCAGAGUCCUACGGGAGGAAGCAGUGGGGAAUAAUGCACAGUGGGCGCAAGCCUGAUGGUGACAGGCCGCGUGUAUGAAGAAGGCCUUCGGGUGGGAAAGUACGUGCGGCGAGGAGGGGUUACCCGCAGAAGAAGCACCGGCUAACUCCGUGCCAGCCGCCGCGGUAAUAC
rnacentral:rRNA from 1 species